UCACCCCUCAAGCCCGGCUUGUUGUUGGACGCGGCGGCGCCGUUUGCGCCCCGCCCGUCUCAAAGAUAAUGACGGUGUCUGCGAGGACCCCUGUACACUGAGCUUUCGGGCACGUACUAGGCGUGGAAUCCAGACCCGGUCACCGUCCCUCGGGGACAAAAACUUUUAACCA
rnacentral:misc_RNA from 1 species